GACGAACGCUGGCGGCGUGCCUAAUACAUGCAAGUAGAACGCUGAAGGAGGUGCUUGCUCUUCUGGAUGAGUUGCGAACGGGUGAGUAACGCGUAGUUAACCUGCCUGGUAGCGGGGGAUAACUAUUGGAAACUAUAGCUAAUACCGCAUACGAGUAGCUGUUGCAUGACAUUUAUUUAACAGGUGCAAUUGCAUCACUACCAGAUGCACCUGCGUUGCAUUAGCUAGUUGGUGGGGUAACGGCUUACCAAGGCGACGAUACAUAGCCGACAUGAGAGGGUGGUCGGCCACACUGGGACUGAGACACGGCCCAGACUCCUACAGGAAGCAGCAGUAGGGAAUCGUCGGCAAGGGAGGGGAGACUGACCGAGCAACGCCGCGUGAGUGAAGAAGGUGUUCGGAUGGUAGAGGUCUGUUGUAAGAGGAGAACGAGUGUGAGAGUGGAAAGUACACACAGUGACGGUAUCUUACCAGGAAGGGACGGCUAACUACGUG
rnacentral:rRNA from 1 species